AGAGUUUGAUCCUGGCUCAGAUUGAACGCUGGCGGCAUGCCUUACACAUGCAAGUCGAACGGCAGCACGGGAGCUUGCUCCUGGUGGCGAGUGGCGAACGGGUGAGUAAAGCAUCGGAACGUACCUUGUCGAGGGGGAUAACGCAGCGAAAGUUGUGCUAAUACCGCAUACGUCCUGAGGGAGAAAGCGGGGGACCGCAAGGCCUCGCGCGAUGAGAGCGGCCGAUGUCAGAUUAGCUAGUUGGUGAGGUAAAGGCUCACCAAGGCGACGAUCUGUAGCGGGUCUGAGAGGAUGAUCCGCCACACUGGGACUGAGACACGGCCCAGACUCCUACGGGAGGCAGCAGUGGGGAAUUUUGGACAAUGGGGGCAACCCUGAUCCAGCCAUGCCGCGUGAGUGAAGAAGGCCUUCGGGUUGUAAAGCUCUUUCGGCCGGGAGGAAAUCGCAUCAGUUAAUACCUGGUGUGGAUGACAGUACCGGAAUAAGAAGCACCGGCUAACUACGUGCCAGCAGCCGCGGUAAUA
rnacentral:rRNA from 1 species